rnacentral:rRNA from 1 species
UACGAAGGGGGCUAGCGUUGUUCGGAAUUACUGGGCGUAAAGGGCGCGUAGGCUGUGCUGUAAGUCAGGCGUGAAAGCCCCGGGCUCAACCUGGGAAUUGCGCUUGAUACUGCGGCGCUGGAAGGUGGGAGAGGAUGGCGGAAUUCCCAGUGUAGAGGUGAAAUUCGUAGAUAUUCGGAAGAACACCAGUGGCGAAGGCGGCUCACUGGACUGGUAUUGACGCUGAGGUGCGAAAGCGUGGGGAGCAAACAGG